GAAAGACUCUYGGCAACGGAUAUCUCGGCUCUUGCAUCGAUGAAGAACGUAGCGAAAUGCGAUACUUGGUGUGAAUUGCAGAAUCCCGUGAACCAUCGAGUCUUUGAACGCAAGUUGCGCCCGAAGCCAUUAGGCUGAGGGCACGCCUGCCUGGGUGUCGCC
rnacentral:rRNA from 1 species